rnacentral:lncRNA from 1 species
GGAGCCAGAUCUUCUCGUUUAGCCAUAUCUUGGUACAUUUUGAAAGGAUGGUCUUGAAUUACAGAUAUUACUUGGCAUGUGUUAGGAGAGUUGUCUUCAGGUUCAGACACAUGUUGGCAUGUUUCAGAAGAAUGGUUUUGUACUGCUAUUUCUUGGUACUCAGAAAAAUUCUCCUGAUAUAUGUUACUUUCUUGACAUAU